UACGUAGGCAGCGAGCGUUGUUCGGAGUUACUGGGCGUAAAGGGUGUGUAGGCGGUUCUUUAAGUUUGGUGUGAAAUCUCCCGGCUCAACCGGGAGGGUGCGCCGAAUACUGAGGGACUAGAGUAUGGGAUGGGAAAGUGGAAUUCCUGGUGUAGCGGUGAAAUGCGCAGAUAUCAGGAAGAACACCCGUGGCGAAGGCGGCUCUCUGGGACGGUACUGACGCUGAGGUGCGAAAGCGUGGGGAGCAAACAGG
rnacentral:rRNA from 1 species